UACGUAGGGGGCAAGCGUUGUCCGGAUUUAUUGGGCGUAAAGAGCGUGUAGGCGGCCAGACAGGUCCGUUGUGAAAACUCGAGGCUCAACCUCGAGACGCCGAUGGAAACCGUCUGGCUAGAGUCCGGAAGAGGAGAGUGGAAAUUCCUGGUGUAGCGGGUGAAAUGCGCAGAUAUCAGGAAGAACACCCGUGGCUAAGGCGGCUCUCUAGUACGGUACUGACGCUGAGACGCGAAAGCGUGGGGAGCGAACAGG
rnacentral:rRNA from 1 species